rnacentral:lncRNA from 1 species
ACACAAUUGCACAUAAAUCAUAUUGACCUCAAAAACCAGUUAUUGAGCAUGAAUGUGUUCUCAAGAACCUCCGCCAUGACAGUUCGUGUAGCCUAGCAACCACAGCUCCACACACUGCUAGAUUAGACUAGACUCCUUGCACUGCCCACCGUCUCGAGUCGUAAACGGGUGCAUUCAUGUUUCACACAGCACCCGCUGGCCUGGUUCGCGGGGUACAUAUCACCAUGCAGGAAGAAGCUGUGUCACACCCGGACAAUCCACCCCGAUAACGCUGAUACAUUCAAAUGGACGUGUGGGGUUAGGACUUUUGCUGUAUCGGAUACAGGACGUAUGGUCCCAGGACUGAUGUGGCGUGGGGGGAAGGUGACCACGACACGGCAACUACACUGACGACAGCCCUGGUCGUCGACUCUACACAGAAGCUCCAGCACCCACCUACUCCUUACUGUGACAAGGGAACGCAACACGCACUCGGACGCCAUGUCAGAUGAGUACAGGACAGGAAAUUUGCAAUAUCUGUGCGUCACUGGUUGACCUUUCUGUUGAUCCACGUCACGACACAGGAAGAUGGCCGCGUGAGGGUCAGGGCGAAUGAAGUCGACUACAGAGAGGAAGCGGACAAAGGGUAUGGAUAUAACCAACAUGGCCGAAGGUGAAACUGAGAGUUGCCAUGGUGACGAUAUAUCAAGUAUGCAGAUACAGGCACUCCGAAGCUUGUUUCUCCUGUUGGUUUUGGCAGUUUCAAUUCUCGUCGUGGUCUCGUCCCUCGCAGUGCUCAGGAAGCCGAAACUCGCUCCCAGUGUCAAUGUCUAUGUGGGCGUGGCAAUGGGCAAUAACGGUGACGACUCUGAACGCUUAAAACGUGGUGUUAAAAUCCCUCUUGCGCAUGCGCCUGCUGGAAAAGGAAAGCAAUUGCACAGUGUCCCCAUGCGUAAGAGUCCCAGAGAGAAGGGCAAACAUAGAACCAGUCAUGGGCACAGCAACAAUACAACAAUGGCUGUCAACGGAAACGGCAGGAAAAUUACACACGGUCGGGUUGAUAUAAAACAUGGACCUAUAGUCAAACCAAGGCACAAACAAUCUGGAAAUAAUACUCAUCUCGGUAGACGACAUGACAAGCACACUGCGGAUCGGGCAGACCUGGCGAUGCCAUCAAGGAAUCCGGUGCCCAGCAAAUACAACUCAACUCAUUCACGUGACAUGCGACGUCAUGGAACCAACAGAGGUUAGGAGAUGUGUGUCAUCCAAUCAAAUUACAGCAACUGUGCCACGUGACGUUGGUUCAACCAAUGGAAGCAAUGAAUACAACAUGUGCCUUGACUCAUUCUGGUGUUAAUAGAUUGAAGCGGCAUUGUUCAUACUGUGGUAUCCACUUGAUAAUAUUUGCACUGUAAUCCGCUCUGUAAUCCGCAAUGGCUGGAAUAUGUUAGAAACUAUUUGCACGAAUUCUUUGUGAAACUUUGAACAAUACUUUGGACACGUCUAACACGAUGCAGGGGGAGACCCCUGUAGUACCGACCAUUGCAUUUUCUGGAGUGUGUGAGUGUGUGUGUGUUGGGGGGGGGGGGGGGUUGUUUCAUGGCUUGUCAUAUCACCGACCAGUGCUUUCCUACCACUUCCGGCCUUCCUUCCGCAUAGAGCUGACACGCAGUGAUAUAACCGGAAAACUGUUCAAAGCGGCCCUGAACUCACAGAACACCGGGUCGACUCCAGGAAUAGAACAGAAUUCAAGUCUGAAACAUAUCUCAAACAUGUCUGACGUAGAAACGUCCCCAGUCUGAAAAGAUACAAUUGAAGUUUGGUCCAAACCUUCCGACUCACUCACUCACUCACUCACUCACUCCAUUCAUCGUUUAAACAUCACAUCGGAGAUUGUAUAGACACCUGACACCUCACUGGUCCUUGUGCAAUAUCGGGGACUAUAUAUACUGGGACUAUCACUAGCUGUAGAAGUACGUGACAGCUGAACGGUGAACAAGGAAAGGGGAGAUAACCGAAGAGGGCAGGGUUCGGGUCUGACGGGUACUCUUUCGAGUAUUAGAACACCAGGGGAGAUAACUCCCAUCUUCAGAUCUCACUGAAGAGAAACAGGACAGUGUCAGGUACAUUGACAGAUGAGAUGCGAAAAAUACAAGACAUGAUUGAUUGUGGGACAUAAUUAUUUUUGUUGGAAUCGCGUCCUCGAGACAGGGUCACGUGAUCCCUGUAUCUAAGCACUGGUUGUCAGUGAGUGUGAUUGUCUGUGUCGGCCUGCUGUAUCGCACUGUGAUAACUCUUGACGUCAUCAGCCAUGGUAUUAAUGUGACGUCAUCAACUAUGGUACUCUUGUGACGUCAUAUGCAUGUAUUUGGGAUUGUAUGUCGGGGUUCAUUUCAAUAAUGUGAAAAUCUCAAACAUGAGUAUUUCAUUUGCGUUUGAACAUUUUCCGAUCUCAUAUUUUGUUAAAAGAUAUAUUUUCAUUGUGAUUAACCCACGUGACAAGAGGAUGAUAGACUUGCUAUUAUAUACAAAAUAUGUCUUUCAUACCGAAGUGUCUGCAUGCUGCCGGAUUACCAGACUCAAAUACCACGAAGUUUAUAAUUAUGCACCUAUGCAGAAACUUUGCAAAAACGCGAGAUCAAAGUAUGAAACAGUCACGUGGUAUAUGGAGUCGGUAAUCUCCGAGACCUCUCGUAAACCGUCGGAAUGAAAAGAUCUAUUUUUGAGGGAAAUGCUCCUUUUGGGUAUUUAAUAAAUUAUUUUUUUAUA